rnacentral:rRNA from 1 species
GACGAACGCUGGCGGCGUGCUUAACACAUGCAAGUCGAUCGGAAAGGCCCUGCUUUUGUGGGGUGCUCGAGUGGCGAACGGGUGAGUAACACGUGAGUAACCUGCCCUUGACUUUGGGAUAACUUCAGGAAACUGGGGCUAAUACCGGAUAGGAGCUCCUGCUGCAUGGUGGGGGUUGGAAAGUUUCGGCGGUUGGGGAUGGACUCGCGGCUUAUCAGCUUGUUGGUGGGGUAGUGGCUUACCAAGGCUUUGACGGGUAGCCGGCCUGAGAGGGUGACCGGCCACAUUGGGACUGAGAUACGGCCCAGACUCCUACGGGAGGCAGCAGUGGGGAAUAUUGCACAAUGGGCGGAAGCCUGAUGCAGCAACGCCGCGUGCGGGAUGACGGCCUUCGGGUUGUAAACCGCUUUCGCCUGUGACGAAGCGUGAGUGACGGUAAUGGGUAAAGAAGCACCGGCUAACUACGUGCCAGCAGCCGCGGUGAUACGUAGGGUGCGAGCGUUGUCCGGAUUUAUUGGGCGUAAAGGGCUCGUAGGUGGUUGAUCGCGUCGGAAGUGUAAUCUUGGGGCUUAACCCUGAGCGUGCUUUCGAUACGGGUUGACUUGAGGAAGGUAGGGGAGAAUGGAAUUCCUGGUGGAGCGGUGGAAUGCGCAGAUAUCAGGAGGAACACCAGUGGCGAAGGCGGUUCUCUGGGCUUUUCCUGACGCUGAGGAGCGAAAGCGUGGGGAGCGAACAGGCUUAGAUACCCUGGUAGUCCACGCUGUAAACGGUGGGUACUAGGUGUGGGGUCCAUUCCACGGGUUCCGUGCCGUAGCUAACGCUUUAGGUACCCCGCCUGGGGAGUACGGCCGCAAGGCUAAAACUCAAAGGAAUUGACGGGGCCCCGCACAAGCGGCGGAGCAUGCGGAUUAAUUCGAUGCAACGCGUAGAACCUUACCUGGGUUUGACAUGGAUCGGGAGUGCUCAGAGAUGGGUGUGCCUCUUUUGGGGUCGGUUCACAGGUGGUGCAUGGCUGUCGUCAGCUCGUGUCGUGAGAUGUUGGGUUAAGUCCCGCAACGAGCGCAACCCUUGUUCACUGUUGCCAGCACGUUAUGGUGGGGACUCAGUGGAGACCGCCGGGGUCAACUCGGAGGAAGGUGGGGAUGACGUCAAGUCAUCAUGCCCCUUAUGUCCAGGGCUUCACGCAUGCUACAAUGGCUGGUACAGAGAGUGGCGAGCCUGUGAGGGUGAGCGAAUCUCGGAAAGCCGGUCUCAGUUCGGAUUGGGGUCUGCAACUCGACCUCAUGAAGUCGGAGUCGCCAGUAAUCGCAGAUCAGCAACGCUGCGGUGAAUACGUUCCCGGGGCU